AUGAGCAACCAAGCAAAAGGCAAGACGAAGAAUGACGGUGGUAAAAUGGGAGGAGGAUUUAGGUCAAAGUUGAAUCACGCUCUCUACAGCGGUGAAAAGAAGCACGUUUUCGCUGGCUUAGUUCUCAUCACCGCCGUCUUUUCUGUACCAUGGUUUCUUAUGAACAGAGGGCUUGUUCCGGUAUUGCCAAUACUGUUUUGUCCAGCAAUUGACCCACGACAAAGGCGUAGGAAGCACAAGGAUUCGGUUGAUUGA